CCCUAACUCAACCCUAUCUUCUCGAGCUUCAUCCACACCCCACACAAGUGAGAGCUCCAUCGCACGAGUUUCUUCCUCUCUCCUUCUUAUUUUGCAAUAUAAAACUGUUCUCCUCCGCUCCCCUCGCCAGCGGUGCUACCGAGCUCAGAGCCGGCGGCUCCAUUCACACUCCACACAAAUCUAACGAGCUUCUCCCUCUCUCCGUCAACGAGCUACUUUUUCUCUCUGUCGCACGAGCAUCUUUUGCCGCUGCCGCCGCCGCUCGCGUCGCAUGAGCCCCCUCCGCCGCCGCUCUCGUCGCAUCUGCUCCCUUCGUCAUCGUCCCUUGGAGAUCUGCUUUCGUUCCUUUCGUUCCUUUCGCUUGGAGGUUAGAUUUCAUGCAGAUCUGCUUCAAUCAAAACAAAUGCCCUAAAAGCUGGUAGUAAAGAUGAAGAAAGACAAUAUAAUAUGGUGUUGUCUAUAGUGUUGAAGGGAAAAGGGAAGAGUUCUUGGAACAACUUUUGAGUUCUAGGAACAGAUCAAGAUCAAGGAGUGGAAAAAAGAGAUAUUCAUAUGAGGAAUGCUCAUCAUCUUCUUCAGAU